rnacentral:rRNA from 1 species
UACGAGGGGGGCGAGCGUUGUUCGGAAUUAUUGGGCGUAAAGGGUGCGUAGGCGGUUUGAUAAGUCUGAUGUGAAAUCCCCGGGCUCAACCUGGGAACUGCAUUUGUGACUGCAUCGCUGGAGUGCGGCAGAGGGGGAUGGAAUUCCGCGUGUAGCAGUGAAAUGCGUAGAUAUGCGGAGGAACACCGAUGGCGAAGGCAAUCCCCUGGGCCUGCACUGACGCUCAUGCACGAAAGCGUGGGGAGCAAACAGG